UCAAAUACAAUAUCCAAGGUGUUAAAAUUUGUUCUUUUAAACAUCAUACAAUAUUUGCUUACAACAUCUUUACAAGUCUCGAAAGCUGAACUACAUUUGACAUAUACGCAAAUGACACAUUUGUUGUUUUAUUUUAUAUUCGAUCUUAACGGUUUUCACAAUUAGGAAAUAUCAAAUAUAUUUGUUUUUAAUCUGAAAAAUUUUAAUUUUAAAUGGGAACCAUAUUUUUUACAUCUGGCAAUGCCUCAGAUAGAUGGAAAGGCCAAAAGAAGGGGGCGCGGGCGUUAGAGAGCAGCUGGCGAUUUGUUUGAAAACAGUGAAUUGUUUAUGAGCUUUUCGCGAAUACGCUCGAGUGGCUGAGAAACCUUUUCAACCUGCUAAUGCUAACAAACUUGAACAGCGGCGGGAAUCAAUUAGCUGCUUGCAAGGCCUUAAAUGCGGUGAAAAUCACAUCCUGGGAAUCGAAACAAAGUCUUCAUUCAGAGUGCUCCUCCCAGCAAAUUGCAGCAAUAAAAUUGAAGAAAUGUCCAAUGGGACUGUGAAAAACGGACGGGCAAGUGGAAAUGAAAAUGGCAGGAGGACGGGAAUGAGGAACCCACUGCCAGUCUGUUUGCUCCUGUCAACUUUCAUUCGCAGCCGCCCGUUGAUUACAGAGCCCCAUUUCAGUCAAGUGCCCCCAUAUAUUCCGCAUUUUCCCCGCAUUUCCCCCUUAAUUCGAAGUCAAGCGGAAUAACAACAGCAACACUUGCCGCAGGAUUUUAGGGGAAUGGCGUAAAAAAGCAAAAGUGUCGUCGAGUCCAUAAUGAGCAGAAGAAAUUCGCGUGGCGCGAUAAGUGACAAAAGGCCGGGAAAUAGGAGAUCGGGAGUGGUUAUUAUCCAAAAAGGGAGGCAGUGCAUCCUAACUUCUGGCGGAGCAGUGGCAUCAUAUGGCAAAACAUCUGCAAUUUCUCAACCUCUGUCAGAAACAUUAAAGUUCAAGCGAAUUUGAAAUGA